UACGAGGGGGGCAAGUGUUGUUCGGAAUCACUGGGCGUAAAGGGCGCGUAGGCGGCCUGAUAAGUAGGGGGUGAAAUCCUGCGGCUUAACCGCAGGGCUGCCUUCUAAACUGUCGGGCUAGAGCACGGUAGAGGCAGAUGGAAUUCCCGGUGUAGCGGUGGAAUGCGUAGAGAUCGGGAAGAACAUCAGUGGCGAAGGCGGAUCGCUGGACCAACACUGACGCUAAAGCGCGAAAGCUAGGGGAGCAAACGGG
rnacentral:rRNA from 1 species